AGCAGCCGCGGUAAUUCCAGCUCCAAUAGCGUAUAUUAAAGUUGUUGCAGUUAAAAAGCUCGUAGUUGAAUUUCGGGGUCAGUAGGUCGGUCGUGCCACAGGUAUGCACUGGUCUCACUGAUUCCUCCUUCCUGAUGAACCGUAAUGCCAUUAAUUUGGUGUUGCGGGGAGACUGGACUGUUACUUUGAAAAAAUUAGGGUGUUUAAAGCAGGCUAACGCUUGAAUACAUUAGCAUGGAAUAAUGAAAUAGGACGUUUGAUUCUAUUUUGUUGGUUUCUAGGAUCGACGUAAUGAUUAAUAGGGAUAGUUGGGGGCAUUAGUAUUCAAUUGUCAGAGGUGAAAUUCUUGGAUUUAUUGAAGACUAACUACUGCGAAAGCAUUUGCCAAGGAUGUUUUCAUUAAUCAAGAACGAAAGUUAGGGGAUCGAAGACGAUCAGAUACCGUCGUAGUCUUAACCAUAAACUAUGCCGACUAGGGAUCGGAUGAUGUUAUUUUGAUGACUCAUUCGGCGCCUUAAC
rnacentral:rRNA from 1 species